rnacentral:rRNA from 1 species
UACGAGGGGGGCAAGCGUUAUUCUAAAUGACUGGGCGUAAAGUGCACUCAGGCGGUUUCUAGGGUUGGAGGUGAUAAAAAGCAAGGCUUAACCAUGUAAAAUCAUGCAAAACUAAGAAACUCGAGUAAGUGAGAGGAGAAUGGAAUUCCUGGAGUAGAGGUAAAAUUCGUAGAGAUCCGGAGGAACACCAGUGGCGAAGGCGACACGCUGGGCCGUACCUGACACUGAGGCGCGAUAGCAUGGGGAGCAAACAGG